rnacentral:rRNA from 1 species
AUUGAACGCUGGCGGCAUGCCUUACACAUGCAAGUCGAACGGCAGCACGGGAGCAAUCCUGGUGGCGAGUGGCGAACGGGUGAGUAAAGUAUCGGAACGUGCCCAGUCGUGGGGGAUAACGUAGCGAAAGUUACGCUAAUACCGCAUACGAUCCAUGGAUGAAAGCGGGGGAUCGCAAGACCUCGCGCGAUUGGAGCGGCCGAUAUCAGAUUAGGUAGUUGGUGGGGUAAAGGCUCACCAAGCCGACGAUCUGUAGCUGGUCUGAGAGGACGACCAGCCACACUGGGACUGAGACACGGCCCAGACUCCUACGGGAGGCAGCAGUGGGGAAUUUUGGACAAUGGGCGCAAGCCUGAUCCAGCCAUGCCGCGUGCAGGAUGAAGGCCUUCGGGUUGUAAACUGCUUUUGUACGGAACGAAAAGGUUUGGCCUAAUACGCUGAACUCAUGACGGUACCGUAAGAAUAAGCACCGGCUAACUACGUGCCAGCCGCCGCUGUAA